UACGAGGGGGGCGAGCGUUGUUCGGAAUUAUUGGGCGUAAAGGGUGCGUAGGCGGUUUGUCGCGUCGGGGAGUGAAAACCUACAGCUUAACUGUGGGCUUGCUUUCGAUACGGGCAGACUUGAGGCAUGCAGGGGAGAACGGAAUUCCUGGUGUAGCGGUGAAAUGCGCAGAUAUCAGGAGGAACACCGGUGGCGAAGGCGGUUCUCUGGGCAUGUUCUGACGCUGAGGAGCGAAAAGUGUGGGGGAGCGAACAGG
rnacentral:rRNA from 1 species